CCUACGGGAGGCUGCAGUGGGGAAUAUUGGACAAUGGGGGCAACCCUGAUCCAGCCAUGCCGCGUGUGUGAAGAAGGCCCUCGGGUUGUAAAGCACUUUCAGUGAGGAAGAACGCCUGGUGGUUAAUACCCAUCAGGAAAGACAUCACUCACAGAAGAAGCACCGGCUAACUCCGUGCCAGCAGCCGCGGUAAUACGGAGGGUGCGAGCGUUAAUCGGAAUUACUGGGCGUAAAGCGCGCGUAGGUGGCUUGAUAAGCCGGUUGUGAAAGCCCCGGGCUCAACCUGGGAACGGCAUCCGGAACUGGACAGCUAGAGUGCAGGAGAGGAAGGUAGAAUUCCCGGUGUAGCGGUGAAAUGCGUAGAGAUCGGGAGGAAUACCAGUGGCGAAGGCGGCCUUCUGGACUGACACUGACACUGAGGUGCGAAAGCGUGGGUAGCAAACAGGAUUAGAUACCCGUGUAGUC
rnacentral:rRNA from 1 species